rnacentral:misc_RNA from 1 species
GAUGAAGAACGUAGCGAAAUGCGAUAAGUAGUGUGAAUUGCAGAAUUCAGUGAUUCAUCGAAUCUUUGAACGCACAUUGCGCCCCUCGGUAUUCCGUGGGGCAUGCCUGUUCGAGCGUCAUUUAACCCCUCAAGCCUAGCUUGGUAUUGGGUGCUUGUCCCGCCUCUCGCGCGGCGACUCACCUCAAAGUCAUUGGCAGCCCGCAUCUCGCCGGCCGUGAGCGCAGCACAGACGCGCUCUUGGCAACGACGGAUCGGCUCUCCAAAAGCUUAUUUCAACCACUGACCUCGGAUCAGGUAGGGAUACCCGCUGAACUUAAGCAUAUCAAUAAGCGGAGGA